AUUAGAGUUUGAUCAUGGCUCAGAUUGAACGCUGGCGGCAGGCUUAACACAUGCAAGUCGAGCGGUAGCAGGGGGUGCUUGCACCCCGCUGACGAGCGGCGGACGGGUGAGUAAUGCUUAGGAAUCUGCCCAGUAGUGGGGGACAACAGUCGGAAACGGCUGCUAAUACCGCAUACGCCCUACGGGGGAAAGCAGGGGAUCUUCGGACCUUGCGCUAUUGGAUGAGCCAAAGUCGGAUUAGCUAGUUGGUGGGGUAAAGGCCUACCAAGGCGACGAUCCGUAGCUGGUCUGAGAGGAUGAUCAGCCACAUCGGGACUGAGACACGGCCCGAACUCCUACGGGAGGCAGCAGUGGGGAAUAUUGGACAAUGGGGGCAACCCUGAUCCAGCCAUGCCGCGUGUGUGAAGAAGGCUUUCGGGUUGUAAAGCACUUUCAGCGAGGAGGAAGGCUCUAAAGUUAAUACCUUUAGGGAUUGACGUUACUCGCAGAAGAAGCACCGGCUAACUCCGUGCCAGCGGCCGCGGUAAUACGGAGGGUGCAAGCGUUAAUCGGAAUUACUGGGCGUAAAGCGCGCGUAGGUGGUUAGGUAAGCGAGAUGUGAAAGCCCCGGGCUUAACCUGGGAACGGCAUUUCGAACUGUCUGACUAGAGUGUGGUAGAGGGUAGUGGAAUUUCCUGUGUAGCGGUGAAAUGCGUAGAUAUAGGAAGGAACACCAGUGGCGAAGGCGGCUACCUGGACCAACACUGACACUGAGGUGCGAAAGCGUGGGGAGCAAACAGGAUUAGAUACCCUGGUAGUCCACGCCGUAAACGAUGUCAACUAGCCGUUGGGACUCUUGAAGUCUUAGUGGCGCAGCUAACGCACUAAGUUGACCGCCUGGGGAGUACGGCCGCAAGGUUAAAACUCAAAUGAAUUGACGGGGGCCCGCACAAGCGGUGGAGCAUGUGGUUUAAUUCGACGCAACGCGAAAAACCUUACCUGGCCUUGACAUCCAGAGAAAUUUUCAGAAAUGGAAUUGGUGCCUUCGGGAACUCUGAAACAGGUGCUUGCAUGGCCGUCUUCAGCUUCGUGUCGUGAGAUGUUGGGUUAAAGUCCCGUAACAGAGCGCAACCCCUUAUCCCUGGUUUGCUAGCAAGUAUUGCUGAAAAAACUCCCAGGGAGACUGGCGUGACAAUCCGGGAAGGAGGGUUGGUAAGUAGAAGAACUGUCCAGGUAUUCUUAUUAUGUGGCUCUAUUACCGAGGCAGAGGGGGCUCA
rnacentral:rRNA from 1 species